UUAAAUUUUAACGAUCAUAGAAAAUUUGAACAACCAUCGAUGGUAUUUGUUAAGAAAACAUUAUAUUAUAUACAUAUUACUUUUUCACGCGAAUAACGAACCUUUACAUAUUUUUUAAUCGAAUUAAAAACAUCGUCUUGUUUAUUCCUUGUACGGGAAAUAAUAGUGUUGAUUAUAAAAAAGAAAACGGUUCAAUAGUAUCUUCGAAUAGGAGUCAGUCACACGUCGUAUAACGUGGACAACGACAUGUUUCCCCCACCCUUGUUCAUCCACACAUUGUGGCAGCAGCAGCAGCAACAGAAACAUCAGCGACAGCAACGCAACAGUCGACAGUACAGGACGGACCACGUACGAAAUAGGAUAAAGAAGAAUAAGAAGAAAAACAAGAAGAAGAAGAACUGCAAACAUCAACAGCAGCAAUAAUGAGCUCCUCUCUUGUAAAAGGGGUUUCAUCCCCGGUUCCUUAAGAACAAACGUGAGAUAUUUGUAGUCGAACAUUAUCUUGGUUUAAACUCUGAGGAUAUUUGUCGCGAGACGAAACGAAACGAAACGAGACGAGUCGCCACGAGACACGACGAAACGCGACGAGUCGCGACUCAAGGGUUCCAGUUAUUGAUUCGUCCGAAGGGGAAGGUACGCGCAAACGUUUCCCACUUUCCGUGUUUCGUCUCUCUCUCUCUCUCUUUCUCUCUCAUACACACACACACACACUCAUAUAUACAAUCCAACCAUCUACCUCUCUUCGAUCUGUUUCUUCCUUCGGUCAAUCACCAACGAAUAAACACACCGGAGUUACAUAUAUACCUCUUGAUUUCACUUCAGACAGAUUCCUCUGCUAAGAGAUCACGACGACUCUUGUGAAAUAGUUGAAAGAACGUUUAUAGCAAUCCCUUUUUGUCUCUUUUUCUUUUUCUUUUUCUUUUUAUUGGGGGGUUUUGGCAAGGUCAAACGUCUGGAUCGAUAUUCAUACAGGCUCUGUGUGUCAUCUACCUCCCAUAUACCAAUCCGUAAAUUCCCCUCUUGGAUAAAAGCUAAUUCAACAGCCAACGAUGAUCCUCCGUACAUUUAGGAUUGGAAAUAUAGGGUGUACAAGUUACGGACGACCUAGAGAUGACCUGAGAAACGAGUCCCUGAUCUUACUGGCUUUUGUUAGCUGACUUUUAAAACUCUUAUCGGUCGCGUUCUGUUUAUUUUUAGAAAAACCGUGACGAUAUCAUCGGGCCUUGUCGGAAUCACCGUUAACUUAUCUUUGCGUCAUUUUUCUUCUUCUUCUUUUUCUAAGAAAAAUAGAAGAAAAUAAAGACUAACAAUGGAGACCUCUAACUGCAGUAUGGAAAUACAUGUGUAUAAAUAAAUACGUUGCUGAGAUUACAGGCCAGACUAAUUUGGUCGAUAAACGACUAAAGUAGGAAUAGUAGGCACAAUUUAUUCGCGUUCUAGACCUUCUUAAAUACGUACAGCCACCAUUUAAAGACGACCCAACGACCUUAUUGUCCAAUUACAUCAAGAUUAGCUGUCCUACUAGGGACAUCUACUAUUAUGACAUAGAUGUAAUACGCUAUCGGACAAUUUAGGAUAGCAUACGAACUAAUUUGUUGCCUAUCUAUAAUAUUUU
rnacentral:lncRNA from 1 species